CGCACCUUGCGCCCUUUGGUAUUCCGAAGGGCAUGCCUGUUUGAGUGUCAUUAUAUUCUCAACCUUGCAAAGCUUGCUUUGCUAGGCUUGGAUGUGAGGGCCUUGCUGGCUUCCAUUGAGUUGGAUGGUCUGCUCCCUUCAAAUUCAUUAGUGGGAUCCUUUGUGGAUGGUCACUUGGUGUGAUAAUUAUCUACGCCGCCUGACCGUGAAGCAAGACUUGUGGGAACCUGCUUAUAACUGUCUUCUUGGAGACUAUCUUUUGACUAUUUGACCUCAAAUCAGGUAGGACUACCCGCUGAACUUAA
rnacentral:misc_RNA from 1 species